CCACCGGAGCUUGCUCCACCGGAAAAAGAAGAGUGGCGAACGGGUGAGUAACACGUGGGUAACCUGCCCAUCAGAAGGGGAUAACACUUGGAAACAGGUGCUAAUACCGUAUAACAAUCGAAACCGCAUGGUUUUGAUUUGAAAGGCGCUUUCGGGUGUCGCUGAUGGAUGGACCCGCGGUGCAUUAGCUAGUUGGUGAGGUAACGGCUCACCAAGGCCACGAUGCAUAGCCGACCUGAGAGGGUGAUCGGCCACAUUGGGACUGAGACACGGCCCAAACUCCUACGGGAGGCAGCAGUAGGGAAUCUUCGGCAAUGGACGAAAGUCUGACCGAGCAACGCCGCGUGAGUGAAGAAGGUUUUCGGAUCGUAAAACUCUGUUGUUAGAGAAGAACAAGGAUGAGAGUAACUGUUCAUCCCUUGACGGUAUCUAACCAGAAAGCCACGGCUAACUACGUGCCAGCAGCCGCGGUAAUACGUAGGUGGCAAGCGUUGUCCGGAUUUAUUGGGCGUAAAGCGAGCGCAGGCGGUUUCUUAAGUCUGAUGUGAAAGCCCCCGGCUCAACCGGGGAGGGUCAUUGGAAACUGGGAGACUUGAGUGCAGAAGAGGAGAGUGGAAUUCCAUGUGUAGCGGUGAAAUGCGUAGAUAUAUGGAGGAACACCAGUGGCGAAGGCGGCUCUCUGGUCUGUAACUGACGCUGAGGCUCGAAAGCGUGGGGAGCAAACAGGAUUAGAUACCCUGGUAGUCCACGCCGUAAACGAUGAGUGCUAAGUGUUGGAGGGUUUCCGCCCUUCAGUGCUGCAGCUAACGCAUUAAGCACUCCGCCUGGGGAGUACGACCGCAAGGUUGAAACUCAAAGGAAUUGACGGGGGCCCGCACAAGCGGUGGAGCAUGUGGUUUAAUUCGAAGCACCGCGAAGAACCUUACCAGG
rnacentral:rRNA from 1 species